rnacentral:rRNA from 1 species
UACGAGGGGGGCGAGCGUUGUUCGGAAUUAUUGGGCGUAAAGGGCGCGUAGGUGGUGCGGUAAGUCACUUGUGAAAUCUCCCGGCUCAACUGGGAGCUUGCAGGCGAAACUGCCGUGCUUGAGGGUGGGAGAGGUGCGUGGAAUUCCCGGUGUAGCGGUGAAAUGCGUAGAGAUCGGGAGGAACACCUGUGGCGAAAGCGGCGCACUGGACCACAUCUGACGCUGAGGCGCGAAAGCUAGGGGAGCAAACAGG